CCUGCCUUUCUCCUCCGUCCAUCUUGUGUGUUACCUAAUCUGCACGGAGGGAGCUAUCAGAUACGGUCCGUCCGCGUUGCAGCUGGCAGUGAAAGCAGAGAAUAAAUGUAGCAGGAGGGUGAACUAAUUUAAAAGAACUAUCCAUUUUAGAGAAAGUCUCCACACACUUUGAAAAUGUUUGGGCACUUUUGGAGCUUGAAAUGGACAACUGAAAUUGAAGGUUAGGUAGUAACACACCUGUUAUUACUGAGCUGUGUUGUUUUAAUAUGUUAAUGUGUAUAAUUGCCUGUCCUUAUUGAUUGAUUGCAUUGAGGUGGUGUGUUUUAGUUUAAUUAUGUUGCUUUAUAUAUUGUUGUUACUUUGUUUUUGUGAGCUGCAUUGUAAGGAAAGGUGUUGUUUUUUAAGGCCAGGUAUAAGUUAAUUAUUUAACCAACAUUCAAUUUUUAAUUCGUUAUUUAAUCAAUAUUUCUCAAUAAAUAAAUUAGCCUGGCUGUUCUUAACAAAAGAGGACUGUAUCCACAGCUGUCCAUGCUUGAGUAAUGGGCUUCUGCUUGCACAAUGUGACUUCACCACCCUCCCCUCCCCUCUGCAGCCCUCCCUCCCUGACUUGGGGGGGGGGGAAGCACACAGGCAGCAUCACCACAAGGUCCUGACUAGGAAGUCCUAGUCUGGGGCACCAGACCAUCCAAGGGCCCCGACACUUCCUAAAAUUGUUCUAUGGCAAUGGGAUGUGUCACACUGUAUCACUGAAGUCCUUCUAGAAAGCGUCUAGUAGCAGAGUGGUCAUAGAGGGAUUGGCACUGCAGGCCAAGCCCCUUCUCUUAAAAGAAACAGAACACCUUGUCUGCCUUGUAAAUUGAAAGUGAGUGGCAGGCUGACAGACAGUGGGGAAGACACCCUUCGCCUUUCCUAACUUUUCUUCACAACUUUUUGUAGGGGUGGUUGUGGGUGCUGGAAGCAGCCGGCAAUACAAACAAAUGAAAUAAUCCACAAAGCAAAUAUAAUAAGCAAAUUAUGAAAUGAUAGUAAAGCACAUCAAAGCAAUAUAUUGGCAGGCAAAAUUGCAAUGAAAGGAGCUAAAAAUGUACAGUCUCCAUCUUGCACCAGAAGUGCAUCAAAAUGAGCUUUUGGUGAACAGCAUGAGUGGAGUUCUGCAACAGAGACGGUUCCCUCCUCGUUCAAUACCUCACCCCAGAAAGCAAGGGAUGCCCAGAGGGAGACCUCCUUAAGUGCACAGGUAGGUUGAUGUGAGAGUGGAUUCUCCUUCAGGUACCCAAGUCCCAAGCUAUGUUAAGCAUAAAAGCUGAGCAUGAGGAUAUUGAAUAGCAACUAAAAAUGGGCUAUAACCUAAUGAAGAUCUUUCAGCACCACCCAAGCAUGCCCUGGAUGCCUGCUUCCAGUAAGCAACUAUGUUUUGAACAAACUGCAGCUUCCAAAAAGGAUAAUGCUGCUAUAAAUGUAUGGUGCAGAUGUUGCCUCUGUCUCUUUGAUGACCCCCUAAGCCCACUCACAGAGUGCUGCAGAGACACCUGGGAGCCAUCACACAGGAGCUGCUUAAAAACCUGUCAUUCGGUGCUCCUAACUAUGUGGGGGAGAGGAGGUUACCUGCAAUUGCUGAGCAUGCAUCUAAGCCCAAAGCUCCUAUCCCUGCAGCUUUUAAGAAAGCAGAUGGGUGGUUACACUGGGGUUAACUUUGAUUACAGGCCCUAAAUAGUUAAGAACCUAAGUGUCCGAACCCAUCCCUACAAAGUCACAGGUAUUAGGAAUUGAUGGUUUGGAACUAGAGCUCGAGUUUUGAUUUGGGUAUGUGUGGAUUCUGCUAGUCACUGACACCUGGCUGCUGCUCCCUCAUGUUCCUGCAAAAUAUCAACAUAUCUGGAAGAAAUAUGUCUUUUUUCAAACCUUUCACACCUUGCAUACAUAGAAAACAACUUCCACCAGGGUCUGGGUCUUAUUUGUUGGAGGGGAGAGGAAACCACAUAAAGCAGCCUAGUCAAACCCACCCAAACUGCCAAUGCUGAUAGAUUAAAAUUAAUAUAUAGUCAGGUUUCUCUCUCCACCCUCUCUAAACCACCAGAAAAUUAAUCAAGGGCAAAGUGAUUAUGGUUUACAAACUGGGGGGGGGGGGAGUUGAUUCAGCUCCACCAUGCACAUUGAAACCUGGUGUGAAAGUCAAUACUUUAAAGGGAUUUAGUCAUAUGUGGAGAGCAAAUCCUUAACUUAGUUUUGAAAUGGCAUCUUUUUGUUCAUCUCAAAUGCAUCCAGCAAUAACACCUGCCUGCAUUUAUAUCUUCCCCGAUGAAGAGGGACUGCUUGUCCGAAAUAACCUCCUCCCCACCCUGAUGAUCUCCCCCAUGUCCUCAUUCCACCUCAAGCUGAGAAGGGCAGAAGGGUCUCCUUUCUAGAACUUCAUGAGCCAUUUUUAGCCUUCGGGGAGUUGCCCUUUGGGAAAUCUGUUUUUCUGACCCCAAUCCCGCACCCAGAGAAAUCAAUGCUGGCUUUGUUACUGGCAUGAGCUGAAGCAGAAUCGGGCUCUGAUGCACAAGGAAAAACCUUUCAAGCAUGAAAGCUAAUUUAAAAGGAACCGUCCUCCCUGCAUUCAGAGAGUGAGCAAGCAAGAGAGAGAGAGGGAAUCAUGACGGAUUUCAGUGUAUUUUAACUGAGUUAUUGUCCAGUGGGAAUUGAGCUAAGACCACAAACAUUAUUUCACUUUCCUGCAAGCCUUCUGUGAUGAAUUUGAGUUUCAAAGCAGAAAGCUGGGAGGUUUCUGCUUUUAAUAAUAAGUGAUCACCCUUCAGAUGCAAACGCGUUAAUAUUGCGGCAUGUGCCUCUUCAAACAAAGAUUCUUUAUUAUAAUAAACAAACACCUGAAUUGUAAAUCCAUUGCAGCCUUACAGAAGAUAACACCAAAUGCAACUAGAAUUUUCCACUGGGGUUCUGCUAAGAAUAUUUUGUUUAAUUGAUUUUCUUUUUUCUUUUUAAAUCUAUUAUGUUGCUCCAGGCCUGGUUAUCGAUUGGCAAUGCUGUGGAGGUAAUGAAGGAGCCUUGAAAUCAAUAAGGCAAAAGUAUAUCUCAAACUGUAUCUGCUUCACCAGCACAUCAAGGAUGCGGCCACUCAAAUUCCCUAGACAGGGCCUGUAGUACAAACCACCUCUCCUCUGACUGCUGAGAUUUAUUUCUAUUGGCAUAAACAUAACUAAUGAAACCCCAAUGACUCUUGGUCCUGCGGACACCAAUAAUAUAUUGCAUCACGGGGUGACAAAAUGAGCAAGGGCACAAUCUGCAAAAAAAAAAAAAAAGUAAAUAAAAUGAAUUAAAUCCUUGGGCACUUGCGAGAGGACAGGUUCAUUUGUAUGUUAGUAUGAUCAGCAUUCAGCUCCCACCUCAGACUUGUUCCAGAUAUUUUCCCUUAUUCAGAUUCUAUGCUGGCUCUUAUCAUGACAUUUAUAAUUCUAGAAAAGGCUGGUUUGCCCUCUCUCUCCCUUUCUACUAACAAAAUACAGCCAAUAGCAAUCAACAACUGAUAAAUAUGUUUUGUGCUAAGCAUGUUAUCUUAUCCAGUUUGCAAUAAUACUGCCCUAGAUAAACCCCCUGGAUUAGCUGAAGCCUCUCUUCUAAAGAAGUGACCUCAUUAAAGUUCAGAAGACCAUCGACUGUCAUGAGAAUCGCUGAACUGCUACAAAAAUACUAAUACACAGCACUUCCUUACUUUCCCAAGGCUAAGAUUUUUCCUUUUCUCCUUGCAUUCCAGACUUAAAAGCGUGUGGCAGCUGAAGAAGUGAAAUUGGUAAAAGGAUCCACCUUUUAGUAUAGGAUCAUGUGGCAGCAGUCCCAUGGACACUUAUCUGGAAGAAAAAAAGGAGGAGGAGGAGGAGGAAGAAACCUGGUCCUCAUUCCAGAAAGCCAACCCUGAAGUUUUCCUUACCUCUCCUGUUUUAUGAGCAUCACAUGUAACAUUAUAAAGAAGCAGCAGCAGCAAGGAGGCCUUGUAUAAAGCAUCAGUGUGCCUUGGCUACAAUAGGAAUUUUUGCCUCCCUAACAUUCUUGCCAGGUAAAGCUAAAAGGUGUAAUCAUCUGUGUAAUCUCGCUUGGAGUGUUGGCUUCCCUGAUUCAUAAAUAUGCACAGAUUUAUGAGCAUAAAAGGUGUGUAGCAUGAGGUUUCCAGAGAAAAGUGUCACGGUUACAGCUUUCUCCUCUCAGCGCUUGGUUUUUAUUUUUAAAGAAAGAUAAGGAGGUUCAAGGAAGGGGGGGGAUGUGACACGAUGAAAAUGAUCCUUUUAAGAGAGAUUCGCUUUAAUUAUAGACUUUUGUAAUUUUCUGUAGUUCCACAAUCCCAUUAUUAAAUUACAACAGUAACUCAUCUAAUGGGUUUUUACUGUAAAAGCAUCAAUUUUGCUUUAUUGUCUCCCACUGCUGCUUGUGUAAAAUAAAAUAAAAAUAACAGAAGAGUUUAAAAAAAGAGAAAAGCUUCCCCCUCCCUGCUUGCAGCAGAGGGGGGCUGGCAAAUCUCCUUUCUAUUAAUAGGCCUCCCCACCCCACCCCACUUCCCUAAGCAAAGUGGAUGGUGUAAGAAUGGAAUACAAACAAUAAACUAGAUCCAGGUAUAUUUGAUUGGGUCUGUAGGGAGUGAUAGGCCAGGGCUGAUGAUUGGGCAGGUAAGGGCAGCUAAUUUUCUUCUGACUCCACUGAUGAGUGCCCUACCAAGCCAGCAGGGAAAUAGUGGCUGCCUCAGAAGUUGGUUUCCUGCUGUAGAAGAAAACGGCAAAUGUCUACUAGCCUAGUUUUAUUCUAAAGGUCCUUAAUGCAAGACCAGCUAGUGCUGAAUCUAAUUUUGCACUAACAAGUUCACUUCUCUAGGCGGCUCAUGUGCUGCUGUUCUUGCAGAAACAAUUCCUCCUGCUUUUCUUUCUGUUCUUCAAGUUGCCUAUUCUGAACACGGAAGAGCUAUCCUACAUACCCUACAUAAACAGUGAGAUACACAGAAAAAAGAGGGGGGGCGUUUUAGGAACAGGAAAGUACAAACCAGAUCUUGAAUAUUUUCGGGCGAAAUUGUGGAGAAAGUCUAGCAUUCUUUGUCAAUAUUAUUUUUUUUAUCAUUUAUGAAUUUAAUGAGGACAUUGGAAUUCAAUUUAAACUGGGCAGGUUUUGUCAUUCAGAUUGGAGCACCGCAGAAGUGCUGGUGCAUGAAGGUUACACAGAUUGAGUGGUGCAGAAGCGUGCAAAUGAAGGGGAGCACAGCUCUGGGAGAUUUUUCACAGCAGGAGUGAUGGACAUCACCUUUUGGAGAACAAGGGAAACUGGCGUCUCCUCCUUCCCUUUGGCAAGUGAGGUGAUAAAGAGGCUUUCAAGUUUGUCACAGAUCAUUGGACCAGAGGAAACUAGAGAAUGAGGAAAAUAAUCAAGCAAGGGUUGGGAACUCGCCCCCACCUUUUCCUUUGAUGGGACUCUUACUUCACGCUAGCAGGGUCAGAAACAAGCACCACUGAGUUCCAUGGACCUUCCUUCCAGGAAACUACAUAGCAUGGAAGUUAAGCUGAUCCUAAUAAAUUGCGUACUAUACAACAUGCCACUGUUCUGCUCUUCUAUCUCCCUCCCUGUGUGUGAAUGGAUCAAAGCAGAUGUCUACAUAUUUGGAAUCUCAUUGGAGUAUGCCUAUGGGGGCUGUCUUCAAAAUUUACCACUAUGCCGCUGAAUGAAUUAGAUACACUGGAAAACCAAGUGGAUUCUACUGUAAAUCCUAUUUAGUUUCCAGACUGUAGCUCAUAAACGACCAGCUCAUAUCUCCUUCCUGCAGAGGUAUGCCACUAAGGGCUAAGGCUCUAUCAGAGCAAACAGGGAAAUUCAAGUUUUCCCUGGAUUGUCAUCAUAGCUGCCAACUUUUCCCUUUUCCCGCGAGGAAGCCUAUUCAGCAUAAGGGAAAAUCCCUUUAAAAAAGGGAUAACUUGGCAGCUAUGAUUGUCAUUUGUUCCAAUCUAUCGCUAUAGAGUGAGCUUUCCCUUGGAAUGGAGCGGAGCAAGCACAAAACUGCUCAGACCUGUGCUUUCUAGGCACAGCAGAAACGGAAGUGUGGAAGAGUCCUAACUGCCUCGCCUGUGCUACUUGUGGCAACUGUCGCACAUGAUUUAGAUAAAGAAGUAUCAAAAUGGGUGUGUAUACAGUCCUUAUUCCCACCAUGAGAGGGUAGGAGGCCUAGCCUACCAGAAAAUUCUCCUUGUACUGGCAAUGUCAAGGUGUCGCCGUGAUAAUCAGAGAUAGUGUUAGAGUCAACAUCGUGAAUGUGGGGUUUUAAGAAAGCCUCUCUCAGCAAGACUUCUGUACCAUCUCUGAGCAAUACAAUAUUAGCUGUUGACACUGUCAGCCCCUGCUAGUCAUGUUGCAUCUCCAUCUCGCAGUGUGCCAAGUGUUUGCUGUGAGAAUGAAUAGCAAGAGCCCUUGAAAUUUUGACUUUUCAGUGUGGCCUUCAUUUAUGGGAGUUUAGAACACUUUCAAGCAGAGAAUGCUAACUAGCAUUGAAUUUGAGAAGGAGGCAUUGCAGCAUACAGUAUGCACAACAUGUUCUAGAAUCAAUAGAGAUGGAGUGUUUCUUUCUUCUACUACAGGCACCCCAUCUGCACUUCCUGGAAAAGACUGGAGACAUUUUUAUUCUGGCUUUCCCAGCUAGAUAAACAGGUUUCCUGAAGACACCCCUUUGGUUCUAGUUUGCAAAAGAGAAUGUACCAGGGAAACGGGAUGGGUAUUGCAGCAUCUCAGCCUUGCUGAUGAGUGAAAAUAACCUGGAAGGAAGUGAUGAGAAACACAUCCCCACACAUCUGACCUUUCAGUGGAAAGCGGUAUGUUGGUAGCAAGCCAGGACAGGUGAACCAUAAUGAUUUUAUCUGUCCUUGAAUUCUCCUCAGAGGCAGCCCUUCUCCCUUUGCACCCCCCUCCCUCUCACUUCGUCCAUGUUCCUCAGUGGGCAGCACAGCCCUGUCAGUUUGAUAAACGAGGAUCAAUGGAAGAGAUCCCCAAGUCUCAUUUUGAGAGUUUCUCUUGAUGGGUUGGAGUCAAGAAGCAGCCAGCUGGGAAUCUCUCUCUUGGGUGAGGGUCUUUCACAUUGCCUUUGGUCCUCACUUAAACUUUCUUUUUAAAGGUUAAGCGUAUUUAUAUACCACCUACAAAAGGUUAUUCUGCUUGACCAGGUCUCCAGAAAGAAUGAUUAAUGGCUAUUCCUGCCAACUCUCAGUGUUUUGGUUGAGUUGGAACUGGAAAGGAAAUCUAGCCGGUACAGAAAAAUGUCGAAUGCUUCUGUUUUACAGAAAGAAUGCACAUAAACAACUGCUUACUUAAAGAGCAGAAUUUAUUGUGCUUUGGGGGGCCCGUUCGUUUGGCCUUUAGAUUCUAAACGAUACUUUUGCAACAUGCUUUCUUUCUCUCUUUCUAGCUACUUCUAUUACUACAGUAUUUAACUCCACUCCUUCAAAGACUUAUCAGGCAGUUUCUUGAGUGGCUUUUGGUGGUGGAGUGUGUGUUUUCUUCUGUUCUUUUUAUUUUUAAACAUUCAGACUGUAACAAUAAUACCAGAAUUCCCUUGUCUCAUUUUAAGAUAUAGCAAUCUGAACCAUUUAUCUCCACUUCAGCCCCCUGAGCCAUUACACUGGUGCCUUGUGUUAUAUUUUAAUGUAUUACAGAGCUGACCCUUCCAUGUUAAUUCAUAACUUCUUCUUCUUUUUUUAAGGGUUGCAAUUAUACUUCAUUUCCAUCGCUUAGAAAAAAGAUAAUAAGAGAUGAAAAGGGAAUCUGGCUAUUUUGCCAAGCCCUUGAAGUGUACCUUGAAGUUGCCUCUGGAGGUGUCACCAGGGGCAGCCUAAGACAUCUAGGUGGAGAACCCAAAUGCGGCCUCCUUCCUUCUAACUAACAAAUGUAGUCAGCUGGAAAUGUCCUGCCCAAACCUCAGCAAAAUGAAUGGGAGCUACUGCCAUCCGUUCUAAUGGUGCUAGAGCCAGCCCAAGGCAUUUUAUAGCCUGAGGCACAGUAGCAAACAUCACACACCUCUAAGUCAAGGUAUAUAAUACCCAAACCAGCUAAAUCAUUUUUGCCCCUGAGGUUGAAAAUCACACAAGUGCCUCUCCCUGUCUCUAGCAACAAAAUUAUAAUAACAAUACAUUUGGAAAAAUAACAGCUUGCUGGUCUUUCAUGACACUCAAAACCUGCUCCCUGAGGCAACCACCUCGUUCUGCCUAAUGCUAGGGCCAGCCCUGAUUAAAGCUUGUGUGCUCCAUGGGUCAGAACUGCCUGUUUCCCUAUCUGCUACCUUUCAUAGUGACCAAAUGCUGUGGCUUGAGGUGGCUGUGGUAGGGUGCUGUGGUGAUUGGCACCACUUUUCUUCAAACAACUCUGAGGUCGCACAAAUGCCACAGUUUUCUGCCCUCUUUCCCCUCAGUUUCAGUUGGAAAUGGCUAUAUAAUUUAGUCCUUUUAAGUAUCUCAGCCAGCAGCCUGUGAUCUUAAAUAUAAUCAAGGCCACUCACUCACAUGCAACACUGGGCUGAGAAAGAACAAAGAUUCAGACGGAAGCCAGGUCAGUGACUGGAUUUUAGACUGUGAGAUUGUUUGCGAUAUAUUUCAUUUGCUGCAUAUAUCUUCCUUUCUUGACUCAUGAAAUACAUAAUAAAGGCUACAUUUAUGGGAGCCUUUGGCUUUCAGCUCUCUGAAUCAGAUUCUGUAGUGUGUUAUUAUAACUAUGUUAUAAAGAUGGAGGAGAAAGUGCACACUUCCUAAAACAAUAUGCUAUAUGCUCUCAUUUGAAAUAUCUAUUUCUCUGAAUUCUGGUUCUCCAGCCAAAGACUAUGUACAAAAAUGCAUAUAUUAAAGGGGAGUCUGCACAAUAAUGCAUAUGUAGCUGAAAAUAACAUAAGAAACACAUUGCCUUAGGGGAAACAGCUUGCAAAAAUGUGUAUAUUAGACAUACCGUAAUCACAUAUACAAAUGUGUAAAUUAGAAGAGAUGCACACUAAAAUGCUGACCAAUUUCACGAGGACUUCAUUAAAAAGGAAGAAUCAGUUGACAAACUGAUGAGUUAAUGUGGUGAACUGAACUUAAGAAAAACGAGGAACUUAGAGAAAUUGAUGCAUUCUUCACUAGUUGUAAUUUGUGCAUCACCAUGAUGGUCUAGCAUUGUAGUAAGAGCCAUAUUUGUUCAUUUCUGAGACUCUCCACUUAAAAAUGGAAAGGGAAAUGGCCAAGCGAUCUCCCUACCCCUGUUGGAAACUACACAGGUUUCAGCUGCUGUGCCUCGGUUUUUUAUUUCAAAUGUUUCCCAAAGGAAUAAGAAUUUUUCAUGUUUGACUUCUUGAAUUUUUAAAAUGUUUUGAUGCUUGUUAUGCAGAUGGAAACCUGUUGAACUCCACAGGCAGAUAAUUGUUGAUGCCAUGGUCAUGCGAUAACACAGUGCUGGCUUAAUGAGGAAGAGAGCAGUGAAAAUUUUUCCGUGCUUGAUAGCAGCCCCCUCCCUAUAUGUAUGUAAGAAAGGACCUACCAGUCCUCACAGGCACCAGGCUCCACUAAUCACUGAGAGUCUGUACCCCCUGCUAUCCAAUAAGAGCACCAUGGCAAGAGGGAGACCUGCCUGAUCCCAUCCAUUGGCCAGCUAAGGUGCAGCUGCUCCAAGCACAACCACACCAGAUCCCUCACCAUUCAUUCUUCCUUUCAUAUUGUGUCUAUUAGUUUGUGAGCCUAUUGACAGGGCCUGCCUUAUAUUUCAAUCUUUGUACAAUACUCAGAAAUUAUUAUGCGCUUCAUAAGUCAACAACAACAACAAUAACAACAACAACGAAUGGAUGAGUGCAGCCAGCAUGCUCUUUUCCUUUCUGCUGACCUGACUCUUGAGAUGGAGGAGCUCGGCCUUCCUGGCUGUUGCCUCCAAUUAAACAUCUGUUCAGGCCUGAGCCAUGUAAAGUGUGUGAGCUCUACUACACCAGUGAGGUUGUAUUGAUUUAUAUGAGAUUGAUUCUGGGUUCACAGUGUGUAUAGAGUGUAGGUGUAAUAAGGAAAUACACAGAAAGGAAUCCCAUCGCUUUCCUUUAUCUCCGUCUCAUCUUUUCUUCCUCCCCUCCCUCUUUCUCCCUCUGCCUCCCUUCCACCCACCCAAUGAUAUACACUGCUGGGCAUACUGCCAGCUCAGUACUACUAUUAAUAAUCCAGCAACAAUGAGAGGAAACAGAUUUCAGUGCCAGCCUUCCAAUGGGAGCUAAUUAAAAAUAAGUGUCAGCAGAAUAAAAAAGAAAGAUUUUGAAAAAUAACAGGACAGUGCCCUUUUAGGCAAAGAUAAAAAUCUCCCCUGUAUACGGGCAUCUUCUUGCCCUGUGCACCGUGUGUCUCUUAUGAGAAAAAUAGGACAAUUAAAAUUUAACGUGAGCCAGCAUGUUAAUAAAUCAAAGUGGACACCAACACAGCUGGGAGAGCAAAAUGACUGUGUUACAAAGCACCAAGGGCCUGGCUUCUCUGCAGGUUGCGUUCUGCAAAUGAGAGGGUAAGGCUAUUGCUCCGCCACUCCCUACAGCUUUAUACAGUAGGAAACUGACAGCCUGAUCCCAUGCAGAGUUAGGCGCAUCUAAGCCCACCGAAAAGCAGUGGGCUUAGCUGCAUCCCAACUCCACACAGGACAGGGCUGCAAGCGCUCAUCUCAGCUUGGUGUCCUUCCACCUAGUCAAGGAAAAUAAUCCAUGACGAAAAGCAAAGCAAAGCGAAAUAGAAAUCUGUGCCAGAUUUUGGCUUUUGUUCAUAUGUUAAGAAUCAAGUUCAAUGAUUGUAGUGAGAAUGCAGCUUGGCUGUGACACUUGGAGUUUCCAAUUGCUUCAUAUUUUAUGGAGUGCCCCUUAUUUUGACACCUUCAAGUCAAAUAGAUGCCCCUUAUCUGAAUCACCAGAGCACUGGAAUACAUUUUUUAAAAAACUUUUGAUUUAGGAGUCAUGAUUCAGAUUAGCAUACAUUUCUCUGGGACAUGAGGGCCUGUGUAUACCUCAUGACUUACCCCACCAGGAUAGGAAAAAUGUUACUUCUAGUUAUCCCUCUAUACAGUCCUCCAAUGUUUGACCCCUACUUCCUGGUCCUUUGUUUAGGGAAGGAGGUAGUUAAUUUGUUCUAAUGUGAAGUUUUCAAGUUGUGAAUAUAAUGUAGGUGGUGGUGGGGUUGGCUUAGUUUUUUUUAUUGCAAUUGUAAUAUACAAUAUGUUCAAAUAUGAACGCAGUGCAAUUAUAACAAAAUAUUAAUAUGAAAGCAUAACCACCCCCUUCAUCACAUAGCACACACAGAACCAUAACUUCAGAGAUAUGAGUGCAGUUUCUCACAAAAACAAGAACCCUCAAGUAGACUCAAACUUAAGUGAAUAUUAAAAAUACUUCACAAUAGUAGCAAAUAUUUAAUGCAGCCAAACACUUGAAUUUAAGAUCUGAAAAUAUGGCAGGGAGAGACAGAAGACAAGGCUUUCUUUAGCCACGACACUCAGGAACCUUUGGAAAUACCUUUUCUGCUCAAUGCUAGAUUAGCAAUAUAGAUGGCCAAUUCACCAAAUGGUGUACAGGCACCUCCCCAUUCAUGUGCAUUCCACUUGCGCGCCACAACAUUUAUACACGCUGCCAUGAAAUUAAAAAUAAUUAUUAUUUGAACCAAAGCCAUUGUUUGGUGGGGGGUGCUCUGCGCCUCCACCUGUCUGCCCAUCCCUCCCUCCCUUGCUUGCUCAUGUCAAGAAAUUGUCUCCAGCAACUUCCAGGAUUAACAGGGAGAGUGCUGAGAGGCCCUGCAGCGAUAUGAGGCACCAGGAGCCAACUAUCUACAGACCCCCCAGCUCAACUUACUGGUCCCCAGAGGCAGUCAGGGCACACAUGUGCAAGGGCACAUCAUCGGUUGGGGAAAGGGGAUGGGAUGGACAGGAACUGCUGAAAGAGAGCUGCUUCCCAGCCUCUCUCAAUAGAACCCUCCCCACUUUAUGAAAUUUCACAUAUACACGCCGAGUCCGGAAACUUGACCCCCGCAUAAGUGGGGGACGCCUGUAUAUAUGUAAGGUGCACCACGUUAAGACACUCCUCCACCCUAACAACACAUUAAGAAUGGGCACUGUCAGGGUAGGACAGGGGUCUGCAACCUUUAAGACAGAAAGAGCCACUUGGACCCGUUUCCGAAGAAAAAAAAUAAACUGGGAGCCGCAAAACAGGGACGUAAUUAGAAAUCAGAGGGCCCCAUAGCAAAAUUUGCUAUGCCCAAUAAUCAAUGCCCCAAAAUGCCAUAGAAAAUUAAUCAGGGCCCCAGUGUACCAUAAAUCAUAAUCAGUGCCUGAUGUAAAUAAUAAUUAAUAAUGAGGGCCCAAUGUCAUCCUCGUCAUUAUAAAAAUAACUUUGAGUUUGGGCUGCCUUGAUUACUGGGGACAUAGCUGCCAAGUUCUUCCUUUUUUAAAGGGAAAUUCCCUUAUGCUGAAUAGGCUUCCUCAUGAGAAAAGGGAAAACUUGGCAGCUAUGACUGGGAAUGGGCACCAGCAACCACUGCCUUAUGAGUUUGGGCUGCCUUGAUUACUGGGAAUGGGCAAAACUCUGACUCCCUUAUUAGGACACCUGUAUGGUUUCAUGUGUGUUGCUCCCAUCAAGUGAACUUAUAAAAUUUCCUCAUAUUGAAUCAACCCAUUGAUUAAUACAUCUACCUCAAUCUCCUGACCAGGCCGACAGGAGGCCACAGGCAGCCCGCAGGCAGGAGCAGCAGCAGCAGCAAACACGCGCUCCGAGCCCGCAAGCCUUUUCUGCUGCUGGGCGGGAAGAAGCGCGCCCGUUUAAAAAAACAAAUAACUCUGCCCCCGCCCCCGUGAGCCUAUUGGCUGCAGAAAUGCGGCGGGGAGGGGCUGAUGCAGGGAGGGGGCCGACCACGCUCCCCGGGCUGCUAACGUCACCUUGCGUCCUUUUUGCACAGCGCACGCGCACAGCGGAG